GUGGCGAACGGGUGAGUAACGCGUGAGUAACCUGCCCUAGAGUGGGGGACAACAGUUGGAAACGACUGCUAAUACCGCAUAAGCCCACGGCACCGCAUGGCACUGAGGGAAAAGGAUUUAUUCGCUUUAGGAUGGACUCGCGUCCAAUUAACUAGUUGGUGAGGUAACGGCCCACCAAGGCGACGAUUGGUAGCCGGACUGAGAGGUUGAACGGCCACAUUGGGACUGAGACACGGCCCAGACUCCUACGGGAGGCAGCAGUGGGGGAUAUUGCACAAUGGGGGAAACCCUGAUGCAGCGACGCCGCGUGGAGGAAGAAGGUUUUCGGAUUGUAAACUCCUGUCGUUAGGGACGAUAAUGACGGUACCUAACAAGAAAGCACCGGCUAACUACGUGCCAGCAGCCGCGGUAAAACGUAGGGUGCAAGCGUUGUCCGGAAUUACUGGGUGUAAAGGGAGCGCAGGCGGGAAGACAAGUUGGAAGUGAAAACCAUGGGCUCAACCCAUGAAUUGCUUUCAAAACUGUUUUUCUUGAGUAGUGCAGAGGUAGAUGGAAUUCCCGGUGUAGCGGUGGAAUGCGUAGAUAUCGGGAGGAACACCAGUGGCGAAGGCGGUCUACUGGGCACCAACUGACGCUGA
rnacentral:rRNA from 1 species